rnacentral:lncRNA from 10 species
CUGUUCUGCAGGUCUCACCGCAGAGGGGCACGCCAGCCAUGAGGACAGAUGAGGGAACACGUGAUGCCACGAUGGGGGUGCCAGGAUGAGUUUACCUGGAAGGUCCUCUCCUGCGCUGGCUCUGGGGGUGCUUGGAACCAGAGCCCCUUAGUCGAAGCGCGUCCUGCUGCCAGCUACUACCAAGUCCUUAGGCCGAGCCCGUUUCUCUCCUGGUGAUGUGAAUCCUCGUUUUUUGUUGUUGUUGUUGUCGUUUACUGAAGUCCCGGGCUGAUUAGACACAGCAAUGGAAGCUGGGGGUGGCCUGGGCCGUGCAUUGAAUUUGUGACUUUAGCAAGUCCCUAAAUUCCUCUCUGCCUCACUUUUGCUGUCUUUUUUAGGUUAAAAAUAUUUUGGAGAAUAGAAAACAGAACAAAACAAAAAUAAUGGCUUAUAGUGCCAAUAUGGAAUUAUAGUCACUCCUAACAUUUUGGUAUAUUGUUUUGCAUUUGCUUUGUUUCUAUUCUAUGCUUAUAUAUUUUUAAUUUUUUUCCAUCACUGUCAUCAUAUUUCCUAUUCAGGUCUCCAGCCUGCUUUAAAAAUUUUUUAAUCAUAAAGUUCCAUAAAAAUUUUAUUUCAGCCAAUUUCUUUUAUAACACGUUCUUCAUGAAUCUUAUCUGAUAUCUGCAUAAUAUUCCACUCAUACUUUGCACAAUUAGACAUUAAGGUCGUGUGUACUUUUUAAAUUAUGAUACAGCAAUUUCUAAAUAGUGUAUAAUUUCAAUUUUUGUUUCUUAGUUAUCAUAACAGUUCUUAAAAGGUGAUAACAAAUUUUUAAGUGGAUACAUUUUUUCCCCCUUCUUUGGUUUAUAAUUUUAUUGCUCUGUGGUCUGAGAAUGUGGCUGUAUUUACGCUUUUUGAAAUUGAAGUUUUUGAUUGAUGGUUGAUUUCGUAAAUAAGUUUAGGCACAGUUUUGUAUAAAUGAUUGGGCACAAAAUUCUUUAUAUUAGAUCAAGCUUUGUAAAAUGUAUUAUCCAUAUCUGCU